UUAGCGGCGGACGGGUGAGUAACGCGUGGGUAACCUGCCUUAUACAGGGGGAUAACAGUUAGAAAUGACUGCUAAUACCGCAUAAGCGCACGGGAACGCAUGUUUCUGUGUGAAAAACUGAGGUAGUAUAAGAUGGACCCGCGUCUGAUUAGCUAGUUGGUGGGGUAACGGCCUACCAAGGCGACGAUCAGUAGCCGGCCUGAGAGGGUGACCGGCCACAUUGGGACUGAGACACGGCCCAAACUCCUACGGGAGGCAGCAG
rnacentral:rRNA from 1 species